rnacentral:tRNA from 1 species
GGUGGGUUGGCCGAGUAGGCUGAAGGCACUCGCCUGCUAAGCGAGUAGGGGGGCUUAAACCUCCCUCGAGGGUUCGAAUCCCUCACCCACCG